rnacentral:rRNA from 1 species
UAGGGAAUCUUCCACAAUGGGUGCAAGCCUGAUGGAGCAACGCCGCGUGAGUGAAGAAGGUCUUCGGAUCGUAAAACUCUGUUGUUAGAGAAGAACACGAGUGAGAGUAACUGUUCUUGUAUUGACGGUAUCUAACCAGAAAGCCACGGCUAACUACGUGCUAG